rnacentral:rRNA from 1 species
AAAUAGAACUUUGCAGAGAGAGUUAAGAGGGCGUGAACCGUUAAUUGGCAAACGAAUCGGAGCCACGAAGUCGUUUCGUUGAAGUUGGGGCCAAGCUCAGUCCAGGAGAGAUCUUGGGCGUAUUCUUGUGCUCAACCUCUUUGUAAGCGUACACUGCAACUAGUUAGACAAUUGGAGAUGGGCCCAGUUGGUUUAGGCUCUGCGCAAGCUUUGCUUAGAUCAAUGCAGCAUUUGUUUAUCUCUGGUAGUAGUAGUGUGAUAGUUUUCGGACUAUUGUGUUGCUGGCCAGGUGAUGAGUGAACUAUCCCCAAAUACUGACUAGCAAAAUGAAAAUCGCCACUUGUGGCGUGACACAGAAUGCAACCGUUUACAUUAGUGUCUACAUGCUUGACCAUGUGCUUUUAAGUUCGGUAGUUUUGAAUUUGGACUUGCUAGCUACCAGUGGGGCAACUCCUGGUGCUAGUAUAGCUUCCAUCUAAUCGGCUACUGACUUGAGUAUGUGUAGUUCGGGUAUGCUACGAUAGGACGCUAAUGUAAGAUGGCUCGCAAUCGAUUGGCAGUGAGUAGGUCGGCUUUCCGAACGACCCGUCUUGAAACACGGACCAAGGAGUCUAAUUAGGCAUCAGUCGAUCGGUCUUGAUAGGCCAGACUGGGCACCUCGUGUGCCCGAUUGAAGGCGUAGAGAAAUCAAAUCGUGUGAUCAUUGGGGCAACAACAGUCCUUAUGCGCAACACGUGCCUGCUCGUAUAGCAAUGCCCUCGGGCUUGCUGGGCGGAGCAAAGAGAUGCCUGAUUGGUACCCGAAAGAUGGUGAACUAUGCUUGGGCAAAUUGAAGCCAGAGGAAACUCUGGUGGAGGAUUGUAGCGAUUCUGACGUGCAAAUCGAUCGUCAGACCUGAGUAUAGGGGCGAAAGACUAAUCGAACCAUC